CAGGGCUUGACAUGCCGCUGACCGGUCUAGAGAUAGAUUUUUAUCCUUCGGGAUACAGUGGACACAGGUGGUGCAUGGUUGUCGUCAGCUCGUGUCGUGAGAUGUUGGGUUAAGUCCCGCAACGAGCGCAACCCUUGUCUUUAGUUGCCAGCAUUAAGUUGGGCACUCUACAGAGACUGCCGAUGACAAAUCGGAGGAAGGUGGGGAUGACGUCAAAUCAUCAUGCCCUUUAUGUCCUGGGCUACACACGUGCUACAAUGGUCGGUACAACGAGAAGCAAGCUAGCGAUAGCAAGCAAAUCUCUAAAAGCCGAUCCCAGUUCGGAUUGCAGGCUGCAACUCGCCUGCAUGAAGUCGGAGUUGCUAGUAAUCGCGGAUCAGAAUGCCGCGGUGAAUGCGUUCCC
rnacentral:rRNA from 1 species